GAAAAGUGACCAUUUAAUGAAGAUCUAUCGAGACAGAAUUGAAGAAGAACGAACAGAAAUCAAGAUGGUUCAUGAAGACCCGUUUCAACCGUACCAUGAGCAAGCGUAUGGAACCGCCGGCCAAACCACACGUCCAUUCAAGUUGGGAUUUAAAAUCCAUCCACAAUAUGGGUAUUUUAAAAGGAAUGAACGAGCAACAUCAGUCCCCCAUCGAGGUAUUUUGAGAGAUGGCCAUGAGAGCGACCUCGGACACGUUCAUUGGCGAGCUAAGCCGCAGUUUGGAGAAUUCACUCGUCCAUUUGAUCUCGGCUUCAUUAUUCACCAUCAAAUCAACUAUUUGGAGCAUAUUGAUCGAGC
rnacentral:lncRNA from 1 species